rnacentral:rRNA from 1 species
GGACCCGCACAAGCGGUGGAUGAUGUGGUUUAAUUCGAUGCAACGCGAAAAACCUUACCCACCUUUGACAUGUACGGAAUCCUUUAGAGAUAGAGGAGUGCUCGAAAGAGAACCGUAACACAGGUGCUGCAUGGCUGUCGUCAGCUCGUGUCGUGAGAUGUUGGGUUAAGUCCCGCAACGAGCGCAACCCUUGUCAUUAGUUGCUACAUUCAGUUGGGCACUCUAAUGAGACUGCCGGUGACAAACCGGAGGAAGGUGGGGAUGACGUCAAGUCCUCAUGGCCCUUAUAGGUGGGGCUACACACGUCAUACAAUGGCUGGUACAGAGGGUUGCCAACCCGCGAGGGGGAGCCAAUCCCAUAAAGCCAGUCGUAGUCCGGAUCGCAGUCUGCAACUCGACUGCGUGAAGUCGGAAUCGCUAGUAAUCGCGGAUCAGAAUGUCGCGGUGAAUACGUUCCCGGGUCUU